AACGAACGCUGGCGGCAGGCCUAACACAUGCAAGUCGAACGCUGUAGCAAUACAGAGUGGCAGACGGGUGAGUAACGCGUGGGAACGUGCCUUUCGGUUCGGAAUAACUCAGGGAAACUUGAGCUAAUACCGGAUACGCCCUUCGGGGGAAAGAUUUAUUGCCGAAAGAUCGGACCGCUUCCGAUUUGCUAGUUGGUGUGGUAAUGGCGAAGCAAGGCGACGAUUGGUAGCUGGGCUGAGAGGAUGAUCAGCCACACUGGGACUGAGACACGGCCCAGACUCCUACGGGAGGCAGCAGUGGGGAAUAUUGGAAAAUGGGCGCAAGCCUGAUCCAGCCAUGCCGCGUGAGUGAUGAAGGCCCUAGGGUUGUAAAGCUCUUUCGCCAGGGACGAUAAUGACGGUACCUGGAUAAGAAGUCCCGGCCAACUUCGUGCCAGCCGCCGCGGUAA
rnacentral:rRNA from 1 species